ACCGGCGUACGGGUGCGUAACACGUAUGCAACCUACCCGUCAUUGGGGGAUAGCUCGGGGAAACUCGAAUUAAUACCGCAUAAGAUAGUAGAGAGGCAUCUUUCAGCUAUUAAAGAUUUAUUGAUGACGGAUGGGCAUGCGUUAGAUUAGGUAGUUGGUAAGGUAACGGCUUACCAAGCCUACGAUCUAUAGGGGCUCUGAGAGGAGAAUCCCCCACACUGGCACUGAGAUACGGGCCAGACUCCUACGGGAGGCAGCAGUAGGGAAUAUUGGGCAAUGGACGAAAGUCUGACCCAGCCAUGCCGCGUGCAGGACGAAGGCCCUCUGGGUUGUAAACUGCUUUUUUAUGGGAAGAAAAGACUCGUUGCGACGAGAGUUGACGGUACCAUAAGAAUAAGCCACGGCUAACUACGUGCCAGCAGCCGCGGUAAUACGUAGGUGGCGAGCGUUAUCCGGAUUUAUUGGGUUUAAAGGGUGCGUAGGCGGGAGAUUAAGUCGAUGGUGAAAGGUAGCAGCUCAACUGUUUUACAUGCUGUCGAUACUGAUUUUCUUGAGUUAUUGGAAGGCAGAUAGAAUUUCUGGUGUAGCGGUGAAAUGCUUAGAUACCAGAAGGAAUACCGAUUGCGAAGGCAGUCUGCUGCAAAUAUACUGACGCUGAGGCACGAAAGUAUGGGGAUCAAACAGGAUUAGAUACCCUGGU
rnacentral:rRNA from 1 species